CGGCGGACGGGUGAGUAACGCGUGGGUAACCUGCCUCAUACAGGGGGAUAACAGUUGGAAACGACUGCUAAUACCGCAUAAGCGCACAGUGCCGCAUGGUACAGUGUGAAAAACUCCGGUGGUAUGAGAUGGACCCGCGUCUGAUUAGCUAGUUGGUGGGGUAACGGCCUACCAAGGCGACGAUCAGUAGCCGACCUGAGAGGGUGACCGGCCACAUUGGGACUGAGACACGGCCCAA
rnacentral:rRNA from 1 species